rnacentral:rRNA from 1 species
CAGUAGCCGCGGUAAUACGAAGGGGGCUAGCGUUGCUCGGAAUGACUGGGCGUAAAGGGCGCGUAGGCGGCAUAUACAGUCAGGCGUGAAAUUCCCGGGCUUAACCUGGGGGCUGCGUUUGAUACGUAUGGGCUAGAGUGGGGAAGAGGGUGUGGAAUUCCCAGUGUAGAGGUGAAAUUCGUAGAUAUUGGGAAGAACACCGGUGGCGAAGGCGGCGACCUGGUCCUUGACUGACGCUGAGGCGCGAAAGCGCGGGGAGCAAACAGGAUUAGAUACCCGGGUAGUCCCUGUCUCUUAUACA